GACAGAGGGGGCAAGCGUUGCUCGGAAUUACUGGGCGUAAAGGGCGCGUAGGCGGGAUGGCAAGUCGGUCGUGAAAUCCCUCGGCUCAACCGAGGAACGUCGAUCGAUACUGCUGUUCUUGAGGAUUGCAGAGGAGACUGGAAUUCCCGGUGUAGCGGUGAAAUGCGCAGAUAUCGGGAGGAACACCGGUGGCGAAGGCGGUUCUCUGGGCCUUACCUGACGCUGAGGAGCGAAAGCUAGGGGAGCGAACAGG
rnacentral:rRNA from 1 species